GACAGAGGGUGCAAACGUUGUUCGGAAUUACUGGGCGUAAAGCGUGUGUAGGCUGCUACAUAAGUCGGAUGUGAAAGCCCCGGGCUCAACCCGGGAAGUGCACUCGAUACUGCGUAGCUUGAGUCUCGGAGAGGUUGGUGGAAUUCUCGGUGUAGAGGUGAAAUUCGUAGAUAUCUGGAGGAACACCGGUGGCGAAGGCGGCAUCCUGGACCAACACUGACGCUGAGGCGCGAAAGCUAGGGGAGCAAACGGG
rnacentral:rRNA from 1 species